rnacentral:rRNA from 1 species
AUUGAACGCUGGCGGCAUGCCUUACACAUGCAAAUCGAACGGUAACGGGCCUUCGGGUGCCGACGAGUGGCGCACGGGUGCGUAAUACAUCGGAACGUGCCCGAUCGUGGGGGAUAACGAGGCGAAAGCUUUGCUAAUACCGCAUACGAUCUACGGAUGAAAGCAGGGGACCGCAAGGCCUUGCGCGGACGGAGCGGCCGAUGGCAGAUUAGGUAGUUGGUGGGAUAAAAGCUUACCAAGCCGACGAUCUGUAGCUGGUCUGAGAGGAUGAUCAGCCACACUGGGACUGAGACACGGCCCAGACUCCUACGGGAGGCAGCAGUGGGGAAUUUUGGACAAUGGGCGCAAGCCUGAUCCAGCCAUGCCGCGUGCAGGAUGAAGGCCUUCGGGUUGUAAACUGAUUUUGUACGGAACGAAAAGCCUUCUUUUAAUACAGGAGGGUCAUGACGGUACCGUAAGAAUAAGCACCGGCUAACUACGUG